GGUUAAGUUAGAAAGGGCGCACGGUGGAUGCCUUGACACUAGGAGUCGAUGAAGGACGGGACUAACGCCGAUAUGCUUCGGGGAGCUGUAAGUAAGCUUUGAUCCGAAGAUUUCCGAAUGGGGAAACCCACCAUACGUAAUGGUAUGGUAUCCUUAUCUGAAUACAUAGGGUAAGGAAGACAGACCCAGGGAACUGAAACAUCUAAGUACCUGGAGGAAGAGAAAGCAAAUGCGAUUUCCUGAGUAGCGGCGAGCGAAACGGAACAUAGCCCAAACCAAGAGGCUUGCCUCUUGGGGUUGUAGGACAUUCUAUACGGAGUUACAAAGGAACGAGGUAGACGAAGCGACCUGGAAAGGUCCGUCGUAGAGGGUAACAACCCCGUAGUCGAAACUUCGUUCUCUCUUGAAUGUAUCCUGAGUACGGCGGAACACGUGAAAUUCCGUCGGAAUCUGGGAGGACCAUCUCCUAAGGCUAAAUACUCCCUAGUGAUCGAUAGUGAACCAGUACCGUGAGGGAAAGGUGAAAAGCACCCCGGAAGGGGAGUGAAAGAGAUCCUGAAACCGUGUGCCUACAAAUAGUCAGAGCCCGUUAACGGGUGAUGGCGUGCCUUUUGUAGAAUGAACCGGCGAGUUACGAUCCCGUGCGAGGUUAAGCUGAAGAGGCGGAGCCGCAGCGAAAGCGAGUCUGAAUAGGGCGUUUAGUACGUGGUCGUAGACCCGAAACCAGGUGAUCUACCCAUGUCCAGGGUGAAGUUCAGGUAACACUGAAUGGAGGCCCGAACCCACGCACGUUGAAAAGUGCGGGGAUGAGGUGUGGGUAGCGGAGAAAUUCCAAUCGAACCUGGAGAUAGCUGGUUCUCCCCGAAAUAGCUUUAGGGCUAGCCUUAAGUGUAAGAGUCUUGGAGGUAGAGCACUGAUUGGACUAGGGGUCCUCAUCGGAUUACCGAAUUCAGUCAAACUCCGAAUGCCAAUGACUUAUCCUUAGGAGUCAGACUGCGAGUGAUAAGAUCCGUAGUCAAAGGGAAACAGCCCAGACCGCCAGCUAAGGUCCCAAAGUGUGUAUUAAGUGGAAAAGGAUGUGGAGUUGCUUAGACAACUAGGAUGUUGGCUUAGAAGCAGCCACCAUUUAAAGAGUGCGUAAUAGCUCACUAGUCGAGUGACUCUGCGCCGAAAAUGUACCGGGGCUAAAUACACCACCGAAGCUGCGGAUUGAUACCGAAUGGUAUCAGUGGUAGGGGAGCGUUCUAAGGACAGUGAAGUCAGACCGGAAGGACUGGUGGAGUGCUUAGAAGUGAGAAUGCCGGUAUGAGUAGCGAAAGACGGGUGAGAAUCCCGUCCACCGAAUGCCUAAGGUUUCCUGAGGAAGGCUCGUCCGCUCAGGGUUAGUCAGGACCUAAGCCGAGGCCGACAGGCGUAGGCGAUGGACAACAGGUUGAUAUUCCUGUACCACCUCUUUAUCGUUUGAGCAAUGGAGGGACGCAGAAGGAUAGAAGAAGCGUGCGAUUGGUUGUGCACGUCCAAGCAGUUAGGCUGAUAAGUAGGCAAAUCCGCUUAUCGUAAAGGCUGAGCUGUGAUGGGAAGCUCCUUAUGGAGCGAAGUCUUUGAUUCCCCGCUGCCAAGAAAAGCUUCUAGCGAGAUAAAAGGUGCCUGUACCGCAAACCGACACAGGUAGGCGAGGAGAGAAUCCUAAGGUGUGCGAGAGAACUCUGGUUAAGGAACUCGGCAAAAUGACCCCGUAACUUCGGGAGAAGGGGUGCUUUCUUAACGGAAAGCCGCAGUGAAUAGGCCCAAGCGACUGUUUAGCAAAAACACAGCUCUCUGCGAAGCCGUAAGGCGAAGUAUAGGGGUGACACCUGCCCGGUGCUGGAAGGUUAAGGAGAGGGGUUAGCGUAAGCGAAGCUCUGAACUGAAGCCCCAGUAAACGGCGGCCGUAACUAUAACGGUCCUAAGGUAGCGAAAUUCCUUGUCGGGUAAGUUCCGACCCGCACGAAAGGUGUAACGAUUUGGGCACUGUCUCAACCAGAGACUCGGUGAAAUUAUAGUACCUGUGAAGAUGCAGGUUACCCGCGACAGGACGGAAAGACCCCGUGGAGCUUUACUGUAGCCUGAUAUUGAAUUUUGGUACAGUUUGUACAGGAUAGGCGGGAGCCUUUGAAACCGGAGCGCUAGCUUCGGUGGAGGCGCUGGUGGGAUACCGCCCUGACUGUAUUGAAAUUCUAACCUACGGGUCUUAUCGACCCGGGAGACAGUGUCAGGUGGGCAGUUUGACUGGGGCGGUCGCCUCCUAAAGUGUAACGGAGGCGCCCAAAGGUUCCCUCAGAAUGGUUGGAAAUCAUUCGUAGAGUGCAAAGGCAUAAGGGAGCUUGACUGCGAGACCUACAAGUCGAGCAGGGACGAAAGUCGGGCUUAGUGAUCCGGUGGUUCCGCAUGGAAGGGCCAUCGCUCAACGGAUAAAAGCUACCCCGGGGAUAACAGGCUUAUCUCCCCCAAGAGUCCACAUCGACGGGGAGGUUUGGCACCUCGAUGUCGGCUCAUCGCAUCCUGGGGCUGUAGUCGGUCCCAAGGGUUGGGCUGUUCGCCCAUUAAAGCGGUACGCGAGCUGGGUUCAGAACGUCGUGAGACAGUUCGGUCCCUAUCCGUCGUGGGCGUAGGAAAUUUGAGAGGAGCUGUCCUUAGUACGAGAGGACCGGGAUGGACGCACCGCUGGUGUACCAGUUGUUCUGCCAAGGGCAUAGCUGGGUAGCUAUGUGCGGAAGGGAUAAGUGCUGAAAGCAUCUAAGCAUGAAGCCCCCCUCAAGAUGAGAUUUCCCAUAGCGUAAGCUAGUAAGAUCCCUGAAAGAUGAUCAGGUUGAUAGGUUCGAGGUGGAAGCAUGGUGACAUGUGGAGCUGACGAAUACUAAUAGAUCGAGGACUUAACCAU
rnacentral:rRNA from 1 species